GAAAGGACUUCAGGUUAAUAUUGAAUCUACUUGUAAUCCUCCCUAGGAAGGAACAUAAAUCAUUGCCUAGGGCAUCAGAAAACCAUAUAUCCUCAGCCUGAAUCAUUGUUCGUUUACACAACUAGGUAACUUGAAUAAUACGAGCCAAACAAAUGUAUAUCAUUUGAAGAUUGCAUUGAAAACGAUAGGAACAUACUCAAAAUUGAAGGAAAGUAGAGGACCACCAUCCUAGAGUAGUAAAAGUAAAUCUAUUAUCUAGAAAACCAAAAAUCCCAAACCAUCUCUUUAUAUCUCUCUCCAUGCGCAUUAGAAUAGAGAACUGGAAAGGAUCUAGUGCUGGUGCCUUGUCCUUCUCAGAAGAACCUCCAAAACACCCUCUCCCUGGACUUAGUACUUGUAAUCCGUCACAUGAAGACUCUCCGCAGCACCCUCUCCCAGGAUAGCAAGGACUGUUCAUAAGUCGGGUUUGAAUAAAUUAAGCCUUCAAUCCAAUCCAAUCUAUGUAAAUUAUAGUAAUCUUAUAUUACAAACCAACCCAAGACUUCGAUUGUCAGACAUUGGGUUGUGUAAGCACGGCAGUAUAGCUACAAGAUCAGACGCCACAAAGAAAUUCAUUGGAUUAGUCCGUCGGGUGAAAUGGAUAUCCAAAACAUUGCAUGAUGGGCUUGCUAAUGUGAACUGAAAUGUUAAUCAACUGUUUUUUAUAUCAUGUGAUAUUUGUUAGUAAAAAUCAAUUCACCAUACAUUUAAUCCUAUUUAAAAUAUUUAACAUAUAAUGAUUAAAUUUUAAAAUAAUAGAAAAUUAAUAAUAAAAUUUAAAUAUUACAUUCCCUAAAAUGAGUCUUGCUUUGUCUAAAUAACAGAAGCAAUAACAAAAUCUAUUAAUGUUAUAAACUCCACUUCUAAAUUCUGCAGAAGGCUGCUCUCCAAAUGUUAGUUGAUAUAACUCUGAAAACUCCAAAAAAAACAAAUAUAGCACAAUACAUAUUACACAAAUAUUAGUAUAAUAUUAUCAAAAAAAAGAAAGAAAAAUGCUUUCAAUCCAAACAAAUAUAAUAAAAUUCAGCUUGCAUUAAAAAAAUAGUAAACAGUACAAAAAAAGUACUGCAGCAACCAAUAAUAAACUACUAAUGUUUAUUACAAGCUAACCUAGAUGAAGCAAGUUACUUUGAAUUUUAAAACUAGGGUCAAGAUAGUAAGGAUUUAGAUCCUCUCUGAUAUCCAAAAAAAGCUACUGAAUUUGAAAAAUGGUUGCCUUCUCAAAGAAGUGAGUUACUUUAAGGUGGCAUCAGAACCAACAUAUAAGAAAAUAAGAAAUCAUGUUCAGUUAGGUAGUCAUGACAAAAUGAAGCAAAAUAUGCAAAUAGCAGGCAAUUUGAUUAGUAAAGCCAUUCUUUGCCACCACUCACAUUCAGUUCACAUGCCACUGAUCUCAAGAAUCAUUUAAAAACAGUAGAUAAGUACCGAAUGUAUGAUGCAUAUGAGAACCCAAAUCAUAUUUUUAAGGUAACAACGCAGUUCAAGCGCACAAGUAGCAUGGGGUUGACAAAUUUAUAAAUACAAGUUAAUGAUGACAUGGUUAAAUCUCUCCUACUUCUGCAGAAUUCCAGUACAUGAAACCAAAACAGAAUUUGACUACUCCACGUAAACACAAGCUAGUUGCAAGCCAUAGUCUUAGAAAUGCUUCAACAAGUGUCUGUACCUCAUCCCACAUUGCUAUUCUCUUGAAAGAUAUUAACAUGCAGGAAUUUUAUAAAAGAUUCAUAGAAGAUUUAUGAAUGUUACAUUAUUUGAAAGAUAUAUGGGAAAUUUGACAGAUUUAUCAAUUCCCCUUUCAAAUUAACGGGUUUAAUUAGGAUUUAUGAAUAUCCCAUCAAGAAGCAAUGGACAAGGAACCAAAAGCAUCUCAAUAGGCCCAAACACAGCAAUCUAAUUAAGAUCAGAAUUAGCUAGGGAGAAGAGGGCAAGAAUCAGAAGUGCACUAUAAUUUUAUCAAAACUAAGUGGGAACAGUUAUUAUCACUAUCACUAUCCUGAACUUUCUCAGCAACCAAACAAGAUAAGGACAGAGUACCUUCAAGGUAGGUUCAAGCUCACCAAGCUGAAUAGAAAUGCGAUUGAGACAGUGCUUGCUCGAAUCCCAAUAAUAGAACCUAGAAGACCCAUCCAUGCCAAAUUGCAAUUCUGUGGAAAGGCAACCUCACAUGCCCUCUCUGAUUUCUAAUUUUUGUUUGCAGUCUAUUGUUAUGCUCCUCUACCCAAAUCACUAUAAAGCAAUUGGCUUACAUCAGGUAUCAAGAGGGGUCAUUGCCUCAUCGAUGACCAAGGAAGUCUCUGGAGUGGAGCGUCAGCCACAAUGAGUUGUCUCUAGAGGGUACAAGAUGCAAGAUGACAUAGAGGCUUAGGGUUAGAAGCUUUUGAAUCAGGUUUUGACUGGAGAACACCCAACCCAAUCCUACACUUAAACUGAAAUUAUCGGUUUGGUUCAGAAUGGGUCAGUCAGAUCUGUCAAGUUUAUUCGAAAUUUGAACAGCCCUAGGUAGCAUCACCUUAUAGGCACAUAAAGUAGCUUCUGAAUUAGCUUUGCAUCUUACGUGGAAAGCAGCCUGUGCUUUCUUUACAUUUUCCUCUUUUCCUGCCCAUGCCUUGAGAGUACUCUGCUGAAGAGCACAGCCAAAAGAGAAUGCAAGGGACCAGGGUUUUUUGCCCUUGAGUUUGUUCAUUGCAUUCAAAUUGAUAGUGGCUUCCUCCUCACUCUGUCCACCAGAAAGGAACACAAUAGCAGGAACAGCAGGAGGAACUGUUCGCUGCAAAGCCCUGACUGUAUACUCAGCCACCACCUCAGGUUUAACCUUUGGGCUAUCUGAGCCAGGGGUAACCAUGUUUGGCUUCAAAAGAGUUCCCUCAAGAAGCACAUGAUGAUCAUUUAGUGCUUUAUAGCAAGCUGCAAGAACCCGCUCAGUCACAUCAGCACAGCGAUUAAUAUCAUGGGAUCCAUCCACCAAAAUCUCCGGCUCAACAAUAGGUACCAAUCCAUUCUCCUGACAGAUAAUAGCAUAACGUGCCAAGCCAUUUGCAUUCUCAUUGAUAGCAAGAUGAGAUGGUUCAGUUGGACCAAUUUUUAGCACAGCUCUCCAUUUAGCAAAUCGAGCCCCAGCUUCAUAAUACUUCUGACAGCGCUCAGCUAGGCCAUCAAGACCAAGAGUUGAGGUUUCACUGUUAGUUCCAGCAAGCUCAACAAUGCCCUUGUCAACUUUGAUUCCUGGAAGAACCCCACCUUCCUUGAGAAUGUCAACGAAGGGCUUACCAUCAGCCCUUUUCUGGUAAAGUGUUUCCUCAAAAAGGAUUACACCACUGAGGAAUUGAAGGACUCCUGGAGCACAGAAGAGGAGCUCGCGAAAAGCUCGCCUAUUGGACUCAACAUUCUCAACAUUGAUGCUUGCUAGACGCUUGCCAAUGGUGCCAGUAGACUCAUCAGCAGCAAGAAUACCCUUUCCAGGGGUGCCAAUGUAA
rnacentral:misc_RNA from 1 species